GAUGAAGAACGUAGCGAAAUGCGAUACUUGGUGUGAAUUGCAGAAUCCCGUGAACCAUCGAGUCUUUGAACGCAAGUUGCGCCCGAAGCCAUUAGGCCGAGGGCACGCCUGCCUGGGCGUCACACGUCGUUGCCCCCCCAUCUACUCCUUCGGGAUUGCGGGGGGCGGAUGAUGGCCUCCCGUGCGCCUCGUCGCGCGGUUGGCAUAAAUGCCAAGUCCUCGGCGACGCACGCCACGACAAUCGGUGGUUGCGAAACCUCGGUUGCCCGUCGUGUGCGGUCGUCGCGCAUCGAGGGCUCGAAAAAAUUGUCGGGCUCCGGCUCGGCUUUCAACGCGACCCCAGGUCAGGCGGGGUUACCCGCUGAAUUUAAGCAUAUCCAAUAAGCGGAGGA
rnacentral:misc_RNA from 1 species